rnacentral:tRNA from 1 species
CGGGGUAUAUGGACAUAUGUUGCUUGGUUCGGGACCAAGAGGCCAUGGGUUCAAGUCCCGUCACUCCGA